rnacentral:rRNA from 1 species
UACAGAGGGUGCGAGCGUUGUCCGGAAUCACUGGGCGUAAAGGGCGCGUAGGCGGCGCGGUAAGCGUGCGGUGAAAGCCCGGGGCUCAACCCCGGGUCGGCCGUGCGGACUGCCGGGCUGGAGCACUGUAGAGGCAGGUGGAAUUCCGGGGUGUAGCGGUGGAAUGCGUAGAGAUCCGGAAGAACACCGGUGGCGAAGGCGGCCUGCUGG